AUACCCGCUGAACUUAAGCAUAUCAAUAAGCGGAGGAAAAGAAACCAACAGGGAUUGCCUCAGUAACGGCGAGUGAAGCGGCAAAAGCUCAAAUUUGAAAUCUGGCUCUUUCAGAGUCCGAGUUGUAAUUUGUAGAGGAUGCUUCGGCUUACGUUUCGGUCUAAGUUCCUUGGAACAGGACGUCACAGAGGGUGAGAAUCCCGUUUGUGGCCGAGACUUCCGCCAUGUGAAGCUCCUUCGACGAGUCGAGUUGUUUGGGAAUGCAGCUCUAAAUGGGAGGUAAAUUUCUUCUAAAGCUAAAUACCGGCCAGAGACCGAUAGCGCACAAGUAGAGUGAUCGAAAGAUGAAAAGCACUUUGGAAAGAGAGUUAAAAAGUACGUGAAAUUGUUGAAAGGGAAGCGCUUGCGACCAGACUUGCCCGCGGAUGCUCAACCGGUCCUUCGGCCGGUGCACUCUUCCGCGGUCAGGCCAGCAUCAGUUCGAGCGGUCGGAUAAAGGCCUUGGGAAUGUGGCUCUCUUCGGGGAGUGUUAUAGCCCUUGGUGUAAUACGGCCUGCUUGGACUGAGGCCCGCGCUUCGGCUAGGAUGCUGGCGUAAUGGUCGUAAGCGGCCCGUCUUG
rnacentral:rRNA from 1 species